UACGGAGGGUGCGAGCGUUGUCCGGAAUCACUGGGCGUAAAGGGCGCGUAGGCGGCAUGCCAAGCGUGUGGUGAAAGCCCGGGGCUCAACCCCGGGUCGGCCGUGCGGACUGGCAUGCUCGAGCACUGUAGGGGCGGGUGGAAUUCCGGGUGUAGCGGUGGAAUGCGCAGAUAUCGGGAGGAACACCGGUGGCGAAGGCGGUUCUCUGGGCCUUACCUGACGCUGAGGAGCGAAAGCGUGGGGAGCGAACAGG
rnacentral:rRNA from 1 species